AGUGAACGCUGGCGGUAGGCCUAACACAUGCAAGUCGAACGGCAGCACAGUAAGAGCUUGCUCUUACGGGUGGCGAGUGGCGGACGGGUGAGGAAUACAUCGGAAUCUACUUUUUCGUGGGGGAUAACGUAGGGAAACUUACGCUAAUACCGCAUACGACCUACGGGUGAAAGCAGGGGAUCUUCGCACCUUGCGCGAUUGAAUGAGCCGAUGUCGGAUUAGCUAGUUGGAGGGGUAAAGGCCCACCAAGGCGACGAUCCGUAGCUGGUCUGAGAGGAUGAUCAGGCACACUGGAACUGAGACAGGGUCCAGACUCCUACGGGAGGCAGCAGUGGGGAAUAUUGGACAAUGGGCGCAAGCCUGAUCCAGCCAUACCGCGUGGGUGAAGAAGGCCUUCGGGUUGUAGAGCCCUUUUGUUGGGAAAGAAAAGCAGCAGGUUAAUACGCCGCUGUUCUGACGGUACCCAAAGAAUAAGCACCGGCUAACUUCGUG
rnacentral:rRNA from 1 species